rnacentral:rRNA from 1 species
CCUACGGGAGGCAGCAGUGGGGGAUAUUGGACAAUGGGGGGAACCCUGAUCCAGCGACGCCGCGUGCGUGAAGACGUCUUUCGGUAUGUAAAGCUCUGUUAGUAGGGAAGAAAGCAAUGACGGUACUUGACCAAGACGCCUCGGCUAACGACGUGCCAGCAGCCGCGGUAAUACGUAGGGGGCAAGCGUUAUCCGGAAUUAAUGGGUGUAAAGGGAGCGUAGGCGGCUGGGCAAGUUUGGAGGGAAGGGCGGGGGCCCAACCCCCGGACGGCUCUGGAAACUGUAUGGCUGGAGUGCAGGAGAGGUAAGCGGAAUUCCGAGUGUAGCGGUGAAAUGCGUAGAUAUUAGGAGGAACACCAGUGGCGAAGGCGGCUUACUGGACUGUAACUGACGUUGAGGCUCGAAAGCGUGGGGAGCAAACAGGAUUAGAUACCCUAGUAGUC